GGGGGGUUGUAUUCCCAUUUCCCAGCCCAAAUUUUGACUAAAUCUCAUUGUCCCAGAGCACAAAUCCCAUCAUCUCAGUGGCUGUCCUGCUCAAAUCUUAAUCCCAUUCCCAUUUUCUAUUGUUUUUUUGCUGAUGAAUCCCAGUCCCAGUGCAUGAAAUCCCAUUUUCCCACCCAAAAAUAAGCAAAUCCCAGUUCCCAGGACCCUCUUAUUAUGAAAUGAAAUGCAAUG